ACUGUGCAAAGGAAUACUCAGAUUUCAGUGGAUUUGCAAAUUUUGUGGACUUUAACCCUAGUGGUACAUGCAUAGCUUCAGCAGGUUCUGAUCAAACCGUGAAAGUCUGGGACAUAAGAGUGAACAAAUUACUACAGCAUUAUCAAGGUAACAGCGGGGAGUU